UACGUAGGUGGCAAGCGUUGUCCGGAAUCACUGGGCGUAAAGGGCACGCAGGCGGUCUAUCAAGCAGGAUGUGAAAGGCAGGAGCUCAACUCCUUGCACGGCAACCUGAACUGACAGACUAGAGUAUUGGAGAGGCAGGCAGAAUUCCUGGUGUAGCGGUGAAAUGCGUAGAGAUCAGGAGGAAUACCGGAGGCGAAGGCGGCCUGCUGGACAAAUACUGACGCUGAGGUGCGAAAGCGUGGGGAGCAAA
rnacentral:rRNA from 1 species